CCUGAGCGCGUUCAGAAACGCGUGAGCGCCAAGGGAACCACGACCCAGCUUGCUGGAGGGAAACUUGGGGACAUCGGUGAAGACAGGAAUAGGAAGGACCCGAGGAGAAGCAGUAAAGGAGGAACAAUGUGGAAGGGAUAUAAGUAUCCCCCAGGAGGGACCCCGGUGGAAAUAAGCACAGAUGAUCCUGGUGAAGUAAUGCAGCUCUGAAGCGUUCCUGGCCAGCUGUACUGUUCCUGUUGGUUUCACAUAAAGUAAUUGCAUACCAUGUUGUCACAUUUUAUGUAACAAGUUACCACACUUUUAAAGAUGAAUGAAGACUUGGUAUUCUGUUAGCUCAAAACAGGGAGAUGGAGGGUCGGGAGGUAGUUGGGUGGAUGGGAGUGAUUGGGUCCCCUCUGUUUCAUAGUCUGUAAGAGUGGCAUUAAGACUAAGAUGCCUACUUCAAUUUGUCCCCUAUUCUGUACCCUUGAACAUAGAAAUCCUCUAGAGCUCUUUAGACCUAUUUCCCACAUAAUACCUUUCUCCUGGGUCCAAGGUCCAGGGUCCAGGGUCCAGGCAGGGGUGAAAAAUGUAAAUGUUACAGAAGGGGUUAGAGAUU